rnacentral:rRNA from 1 species
GGGUUGUGAGGUUAAGCGACUAAGCGUACACGGUGGAUGCCCUGGCAGUCAGAGGCGAUGAAGGACGUGCUAAUCUGCGAAAAGCGUCGGUAAGGUGAUAUGAACCGUUAUAGCCGGCGAUGUCCGAAUGGGGAAACCCAGUGUGAUUCGUCACACUAUCGUUAACUGAAUACAUAGGUUAACGAGGCGAACCGGGGGAACUGAAACAUCUAAGUACCCCGAGGAAAAGAAAUCAACCGAGAUUCCCCCAGUAGCGGCGAGCGAACGGGGAGCAGCCCAGAGUCUGAAUCAGCUUGUGUGUUAGUGGAACGGUCUGGAAAGUCCGACGGUACAGGGUGAUAGUCCCGUACACCAAAAUGCACAGGUUGUGAACUCGAAGAGUAGGGCGGGACACGUGGUAUCCUGUCUGAAUAUGGGGGGACCAUCCUCCAAGGCUAAAUACUCCUGACUGACCGAUAGUGAACCAGUACCGUGAGGGAAAGGCGAAAAGAACCCCGGCGAGGGGAGUGAAAAAGAACCUGAAACCGUGUACGUACAAGCAGUGGGAGCACCUUUAUGGUGUGACUGCGUACCUUUUGUAUAAUGGGUCAGCGACUUAUAUUCUGUAGCAAGGUUAACCGUAUAGGGGAGCCGCAGGGAAACCGAGUCUUAACUGGGCGUUAAGUUGCAGGGUAUAGACCCGAAACCCGGUGAUCUAGCCAUGGGCAGGUUGAAGGUUGGGUAACACUAACUGGAGGACCGAACCGACUAAUGUUGAAAAAUUAGCGGAUGACUUGUGGCUGGGGGUGAAAGGCCAAUCAAACCGGGAGAUAGCUGGUUCUCCCCGAAAGCUAUUUAGGUAGCGCCUCGUGAACUCAUCUUCGGGGGUAGAGCACUGUUUCGGCUAGGGGGUCAUCCCGACUUACCAACCCGAUGCAAACUACGAAUACCGAAGAAUGUUAUCACGGGAGACACACGGCGGGUGCUAACGUCCGUCGUGAAGAGGGAAACAACCCAGACCGCCAGCUAAGGUCCCAAAGUCACAGUUAAGUGGGAAACGAUGUGGGAAGGCACAGACAGCCAGGAUGUUGGCUUAGAAGCAGCCAUCAUUUAAAGAAAGCGUAAUAGCUCACUGGUCGAGUCGGCCUGCGCGGAAGAUGUAACGGGGCUAAACUGUGCACCGAAGCUGCGGCAGCGACACUAUGUGUUGUUGGGUAGGGGAGCGUUCUGUAAGCCUGCGAAGGUGGCCUGUGAGGGUUGCUGGAGGUAUCAGAAGUGCGAAUGCUGACAUAAGUAACGAUAAUGCGGGUGAAAAGCCCGCACGCCGGAAGACCAAGGGUUCCUGUCCAACGUUAAUCGGGGCAGGGUGAGUCGACCCCUAAGGCGAGGCCGAAAGGCGUAGUCGAUGGGAAACAGGUUAAUAUUCCUGUACUUGGUGUUACUGCGAAGGGGGGACGGAGAAGGCUAUGUUAGCCGGGCGACGGUUGUCCCGGUUUAAGCAUGUAGGCGGAGGUUCCAGGUAAAUCCGGUACCUUAUUAACGCUGAGGUGUGAUGACGAGGCACUACGGUGCUGAAGUAACAAAUGCCCUGCUUCCAGGAAAAGCCUCUAAGCAUCAGGUAACAUCAAAUCGUACCCCAAACCGACACAGGUGGUCAGGUAGAGAAUACCAAGGCGCUUGAGAGAACUCGGGUGAAGGAACUAGGCAAAAUGGUGCCGUAACUUCGGGAGAAGGCACGCUGAUAUGUAGGUGAAGCCCCUGCGGGUGGAGCUGAAAUCAGUCGAAGAUACCAGCUGGCUGCAACUGUUUAUUAAAAACACAGCACUGUGCAAACACGAAAGUGGACGUAUACGGUGUGACGCCUGCCCGGUGCCGGAAGGUUAAUUGAUGGGGUUAUCCGUAAGGAGAAGCUCUUGAUCGAAGCCCCGGUAAACGGCGGCCGUAACUAUAACGGUCCUAAGGUAGCGAAAUUCCUUGUCGGGUAAGUUCCGACCUGCACGAAUGGCGUAAUGAUGGCCAGGCUGUCUCCACCCGAGACUCAGUGAAAUUGAACUCGCUGUGAAGAUGCAGUGUACCCGCGGCAAGACGGAAAGACCCCGUGAACCUUUACUAUAGCUUGACACUGAACAUUGAGCCUUGAUGUGUAGGAUAGGUGGGAGGCUUUGAAGCGUGGACGCCAGUCUGCGUGGAGCCAACCUUGAAAUACCACCCUUUAAUGUUUGAUGUUCUAACGUUGGCCCCUUAUCGGGGUUGCGGACAGUGUCUGGUGGGUAGUUUGACUGGGGCGGUCUCCUCCCAAAGAGUAACGGAGGAGCACGAAGGUUAGCUAAUCCUGGUCGGACAUCAGGAGGUUAGUGCAAUGGCAUAAGCUAGCUUGACUGCGAGCGUGACGGCGCGAGCAGGUGCGAAAGCAGGUCAUAGUGAUCCGGUGGUUCUGAAUGGAAGGGCCAUCGCUCAACGGAUAAAAGGUACUCCGGGGAUAACAGGCUGAUACCGCCCAAGAGUUCAUAUCGACGGCGGUGUUUGGCACCUCGAUGUCGGCUCAUCACAUCCUGGGGCUGAAGUAGGUCCCAAGGGUAUGGCUGUUCGCCAUUUAAAGUGGUACGCGAGCUGGGUUUAGAACGUCGUGAGACAGUUCGGUCCCUAUCUGCCGUGGGCGCUGGAGAAUUGAGGGGGGCUGCUCCUAGUACGAGAGGACCGGAGUGGACGCAUCACUGGUGUUCGGGUUGUCAUGCCAAUGGCAUUGCCCGGUAGCUAAAUGCGGAAGAGAUAAGUGCUGAAAGCAUCUAAGCACGAAACUUGCCCCGAGAUGAGUUCUCCCUGAGACUUUAAGUCUCCUGAAGGAACGUUAAAGACGAUGACGUUGAUAGGUCGGGUGUGUAAGCGUAGCGAUACGUUGAGCUAACCGAUACUAAUGAACCGUGAGGCUUAACCUUACAACGCCGAAGGUGUUU